GACGAACGCUGGCGGCGUGCUUAACACAUGCAAGUCGAACGGAAAGGCCCUGCUUGCAGGGUACUAGAGUGGCGAACGGGUGAGUAACACGUGGGUGAUCUGCCCUGCACUUCGGGAUAAGCCUGGGAAACGGGGUCUAAUACCGGAUAGGAGACAUUAUUAGCGGGAGGGUUGGAAAGUUUUUUGGGUGUAGGAUGAGCGGGCGGCCUAUCAGCUUGUUGGUGGGGUAAUGGCCUACCAAGGCGGCGACGGGUAGCCGGCCUGUGGGGGUGGGCGGCCACACUGGGACUGACGGACGGCCCCGACUCCGACUGGUGGCAGCAGUGCGGAAUCUUGCACCAUGCGCGCCGGCCUGAUGCAGCGACGCCGCGUGGGGGAUGACGGCCUUCGGGUUGUAAACUCCUUUCGCUAGGGACGAAGCUUUUUGUGACGGUACCUAGAGAAGAAGCACCGGCUAACUACGUG
rnacentral:rRNA from 1 species